GGUUUUAUAGUCAAUUAUGACUUCAAAUUGCAAGUUUGAAAGUAAAGUUUAACUUUUGAAACCU
rnacentral:tRNA from 1 species